rnacentral:pre_miRNA from 14 species
UCUUCGGAGUCUGGGGUGGUCUCGAAGAUCCCGGACGAGCCCCCAAAUGAAAGAUCCCCGAAAAGACCCUUAUUCAUGUCUUGGGAAAUCGCGGACCCUAGAUACAGAGAGACCA